CUUCCGCCGAAUGCGCAUGCGCGGCAAGAGCCGCACGCGCAUUCAGUCAGUCCAUAGGAAUGCAUUCUCAAUGCAUUCCUAUGGACGCUGGCGUCUUCAACCUGUGAAAAUCACAGUGAGAAGCGCCUCUAGCAGCUUUCAAUGAGACAGCCACUAUAGGCUGGAUUAACCCUAAUGUUCUCUGAAACUGCUAUGUUUACAGCAGACAGGGUUAACCCU